CAUGAAGCUGCCUGAUAAAAGGACAGAGGAUUUCCUUUGGGGUGAUGAAAAUAUUCUACGUGCGGGGAUGGUUGCACAACUCUUUGAACAGAGGGAACAACUAUGGCCGUGCCGUCUUUAAAGUGAUGACUGAUAGCACGGAAACCCUCUCUCAGCGCAGCCGGUGACCACAGCCCCGCAGCCCCCAUCAGCAUGACCGGUACCACCUGCCGAGUUUGACCAGAGGAAUCUGUCUGGGACGCACUCACAGAAGAGGUCCCGGCUGGGCGAGCUUGUGACUGGGGUUUUCUCUCUAGUUUCCAUGUGGUUUUGUUACUUCUGUCAAGAUAGCUUGGCUUUGUGCUAAAACACUGGAGGCCCCACAAGCUCCACGUCGGCCCAAGUUCAGACGUGCUCCUUCCCCCGCCCACGUCCGCCGCACUUAACUCAAACGCUGUUAAUCACACGGAACAACGGCUGAAGCAGAACCGGAACCGCAGGGAGGAAAAUGUCUCCAUGAUGCAUCACUAAGGGGAAAGACAACAGACGAAGCAAAAUGGAAGGACAAGAUGCAGAUAUGCACAGCCUGCCACCUUCCAGGUUAAAGAAUUUUCAGCGAGCUCCACUGGUGUUCACCUAAAAAGACUACAUUUCCUGGUCUCCGCUGAAGCUAGGUGGGCUUCCCUGGUGGCUAAGACAGUGAAGAAUCUGCCAGCAAUGCAGGAGACCCAAGUUUGAUCCCUGGUUG